rnacentral:rRNA from 1 species
AGCGAACGCUGGCGGCAGGCCUAACACAUGCAAGUCGAACGAACCUUUCGGGGUUAGUGGCGGACGGGUGAGUAACACGUGGGAACGUGCCUUUAGGUUCGGAAUAACUCAGGGAAACUUGUGCUAAUACCGAAUGUGCCCUUCGGGGGAAAGAUUUAUCGCCUUUAGAGCGGCCCGCGUCUGAUUAGCUAGUUGGUUGAGGUAAUGGCUCACCAUGGCGACGAUGAGUAGCUGGUCUGAGAGGAUGAUCAGCCACAUUGGGACUGAGACACGGCCCAAACUCCUACGGGAGGCAGCAGUGGGGAAUCUUGCGCAAUGGGCGAAAGCCUGACGCAGCCAUGCCGCGUGAAUGAUGAAGGUCUUAGGAUUGUAAAAUUCUUUCACCGGGGACGAUAAUGACGGUACCCGGAGAAGAAGCCCCGGCUAACUUCGUG